rnacentral:rRNA from 1 species
GGCCAUGAGUAAAGUGGCAGACGGGUGAGUAAUACAUAGGUAACCUACCUCUAAGAUGGGGAUAACCUUCCGAAAGGAGGGCUAAUACCGAAUGAGACCACAGUGACUUUGGUCACAGGGGUCAAAGGAUGGCCUCUACUUGUAAGCUAUCGCCAAAAAAAGGGCUUAUGCACCAUUAGCUUGUUGGUGAGGUAACGGCUCACCAAAGCUGUGAUGGUUAGCUGAUCUGAGAGGUUGAUCAGCCACACUGGAACUGAGACACGGUCCAGACUCCUACGGGAGGCAGCAGUGGGGAAUAUUGGGCAAUGGGCGCAAGCCUGUCCCAGCCAUGCCGCGAGAGUGAUGAAGGCCUUCGGGUCUAAAGC